rnacentral:rRNA from 1 species
AACGAACGCUGGCGGCAUGCCUAACACAUGCAAGUCGAACGAUGCCUUCGGGCAUAGUGGCGCACGGGUGCGUAACGCGUGGGAAUCUGCCUUUCGGUUCGGAAUAACUCAGGGAAACUUGAGCUAAUACCGGAUAACGUCGCAAGACCAAAGAUUUAUCACCGAAAGAUGAGCCCGCGUAGGGUUAGCUAGUUGGUGAGGUAAAGGCUCAUCAAGGCGACGAUCCUUAGCUGGUCUGAGAGGAUGAUCAGCCACACUGGGACUGAGACACGGCCCAGACUCCUACGGGAGGCAGCAGUGGGGAAUAUUGGACAAUGGGCGAAAGCCUGAUCCAGCAAUGCCGCGUGAGUGAUGAAGGCCUUAGGGUUGUAAAGCUCUUUUACCCGGGAAGAUAAUGACGGUACCGGGAGAAUAAGCCCCGGCUAACUCCGUG